rnacentral:rRNA from 1 species
CCGAUUCUGGCUCAGAUUGAACGCUGGCGGGAUGCUUUACACAUGCAAGUCGAACGGCAGCACGGACUUCGGUCUGGUGGCGAGUGGCGAACGGGUGAGUAAUGUAUCGGAACGUGCCUAGUGGCCAGGGAUAACUACGCGAAAGCGCGCUAAUACCGCAUACGCCCUUCGGGGAAAAGCAGGGGACGACCUUCGGCCUCAACACACAUUAGAACAGCCGAUAUCGGAUUAGCUGGAUUGGUGGGGUAACGGCUCACCAAGGCGACGAUCCGUAGCUGGUUUGAGAGGACGACCAGCCACACUGGGACUGAGACGCGGCCCAGACUCCUGCGGGAGGCAGCAGUGAAUUUUGGACAAUGGAAACCUGAUCCGGCCAUCACGCGUGUGCGAUAGGAAACAUCAGGUUGUAAAAGCACUUUUGGCAGGAAAACAGCCGGAGUAAUACCCCGGUGCAGCUGGCGGUACCUGCAGAAUAAGCACCGGCUAACUACGUGCCAGCAGCCGCGGUAAUACGUAGGGUGCAAGCGUUAAUCGGAAUUACUGGGCGUAAAAGAGACGUGCGCAGGCGGUUGGAAGAAAGAUCUGCAAAUCCACAGGAAGCACUUUGAACUGCAUUUAACUGCAAGGCUAGAAGUGUGUCAGAGGGAGAGUGGAAUUCCGCGAUGUAGCAGUGAAAUGCGUAGAUAUGCGGAGAACACCGAUGGCGAAGCGGCCUCCUGGGAUAACCCUGACGCUCAUGCACGAAAGCGUGGGAGCAAACAGGAUUAGAUACCCUGGUAGUCCACGCCUAAGCGAUCAACUAGCUGGUGGGCCUUCCCGUUGGUAGCGCAACUAACGCGUGAAGUUGACCGCCUGGGGAAGUACGGUCGCAAGAUUAAAACUCAAGGAAUUGACGGGGACCCACACAAGCGGUGGAUGAUGUGGAUUAAUUCGAUGCAACGCGAAAAACCUUACCUACCCUUGACAUGUCUGGAAUCCCGAAGAGAUUUGGGAGUGCUCGCAAGAGAACCGGAACACAGGUGCUGCAUGGCUGUCGUCAGCUCGUGUGUGAGAUGUUGGGUUAAGUCCCCAUAGCAGCGCAACCUUGGCAUCAUUAGUUGCUACGAAAGGGCACUCAGCAAGACUGCCGGUGACAAACCGGAGGAAGGUGGGGAUGACGUCAAGUCCUCAUGGCCAUAUGGUGGGGCUUCACACGUCAUACAAUGGUCGGGACAGAGGGUCGCCAACCCGCAGGGCCAAAUCCCAGAAACCCGAUCGUAGUCCGGAUCGCAGUCUGCAACUCGACUGCGUGAAAUCGGAAUCACUAAUGUAAUCAUACGGAUCAGCAUAUCGCAGUGAAUACGUUCCCGAAGAUCACCUUACACCGCCCGUCACACCAUAUGAGGUGGGUUUAAGCUGUUAGCCUAACCGUAGGCGAUUACGGUAAGUUCAUGACCGGGGGUGGUGUGUCCGAGGUGACCUGUUUUCUGAUGUCCAGAACAGUACGGCG